UACGUAGGGCGCAAGCGUUGUCCGGAAUUAUUGGGCGUAAAGAGCUCGUAGGCGGCUUGUCACGUCGGGUGUGAAAGCCCGGGGCUUAACCCCGGGUCUGCAUUCGAUACGGGCUAGCUAGAGUGUGGUAGGGGAGAUCGGAAUUCCUGGUGUAGCGGUGAAAUGCGCAGAUAUCAGGAAGAACACCAAUGGCGAAAGCAGCUCUCUGGGACGGUACUGACGCUGAGACGCGAAAGCGUGGGGAGCGAACAGG
rnacentral:rRNA from 1 species